ACACCUCCAUCCCAGCUGACCCCCAUCAUCUCUCAUGCCAGAAAACGACCACCUCUUUCACCCCAAACAAUCCGACGCGAGCAUAAGCAACCCAGCAGCCCAUCCACAUAUGUUGAUCCAUAUCCUAGAUCGUCGAGGUCGUUGUUGAGAUUCCGGGCAGAUUCGAGUUUAUUUCGGUUUCAAAGUUUUGGGGCAGAUUUGUUUCCAUUCAGGUUCUUCUUUGUUUCGAUCCGGUUAGUUUGUUUAAGUUUCAUUUCUGUCCGUAUUGUUUUUUUAUAUUCUUGGAUCUAAAAUCAGUAUAUUAUUUUCUUGUUCAUUUCUUGAUUAUUUCUUCAGUUGAUUUGAUUCAUUUGUUCUAGUUUAGUUUUAAUAUAGAUAUGUUUUAGUUUAAUCUUUUGAAUUUUUAUCUUGAUUGUAAUGUUGUUACGAUUAAUGUGAAGUUCAAUUUAUGUUUAAGUUUGGUGACUUGAAUGUGUUUGAUCUGUUAAGUUUAAUUUGAAUCUGAGUUUAGUGAUUGGAGUCUACUUGUUUGUUAUGAUUCAAUUUUGUUAUUGUUGUUGAAUCUGAAAGUAUGUUUGUUGUUAAACAUGUUGUUCAGUCAAAAUAAUUUUUAGUUGGUUCUUUGUUCAUCAUAUAAUUUGAAUUUGUUGAUUAAUUUUGAUUAAGGAUUGGCUAUAGUUGCUAUAUUUUUGUUAAUUGAUUUAAGUGAAUUGGUUAUAACUUAUAGGGUAGAAUAAUAAUAAUUUCAGGGGGUAAUACGGGAAUUUAUAGCUUGAUGAAUAAUUUAUUUUGAGUGCUUUGUCUACUAGAUAUAAAAGUAUGAUUAAAAUAUUAUAGUAGGGGACAAGACAUAAUUAUGUAAAGAGGAAGGUAAUAAUGUGGUCUUCUUUAACCAUCGAAAAUGGGGGAUUGUGGGGUCCUGAUGUGCUUUAAUUUGAAUUAAUUGAUAGGGGGACCACUGAGAAAUAAGAGAUGUUUGGUUGAUUGGGAAUUAGAAAUAGUAGUUUAAUAAUGAAAAGCUCAAUAACCCACAUAGUAGAGGAAUAUAGGGCUGGAAACUAAGAAAGAAGGAGAGAGUAAUUAGAAAAGGAUAAUGAUAAAAAGUAAAAGAAAAAGGGGCUAGAAAGGAUCUUGUUUUAGAUAUAAAGAAGUGUCAUUCGACACUUAGAAGGGGAGAACAAUCUGUUAAGAGGAAUUGAGAGUCAAAAGAGAGUUUUGAGAGUUAAAAACUAAAAAAAAAUCAGAAGCUUACUAUUCCCUUGUAUUCUUGGAAUCUUCAAGUAUUUUUUCCUGAGUUUGCUACUGGUUCAUUUGAUACUGCUCUACUGGUUCUGCUAUAAUUUUGUGGGUUUUUCAAAACUGGUGCUGGAUACUAUUUUUCGUUGGGAUUUUCUGCUUGGUUUUCAACUCUUUCCCAGGGUUUUUCUACUACUGGUUGCUGGUUAUCGUUGGUUAUAUUUAUUGUUGCGUUGUGUAUGCUAUUGUUGUUGCCAUCACUGACUUUCCUUCUCCUUCUUUGUUUCCAAAUAUCAGGUACACAUUGCUAUACUGGUACACUUGUAGCUGAAACUUGAAGCAUGAAUGAAAUGAAGUCUUAAAACUCCAAAGUUAUUUAGUUGUGGUUUUGUAUACUAAGUUUUAUGAUAUGUAGUCAUUAGUUUUUUAUUACAAUCAUAUGAUUAGUCUAUUAUGUAUAAAUAAGUAGUGAUCCACAGUAGUUAGCUUGCAAAC
rnacentral:lncRNA from 1 species